GAUUAAGUUAUUAAGGGCGCACGGUGGAUGCCUUGGCACUAGAAGCCGAUGAAGGACGUUACUAACGACGAUAUGCUUUGGGGAGCUGUAAGUAAGCUUUGAUCCAGAGAUUUCCGAAUGGGGAAACCCAGCAUGAGUUAUGUCAUGUUAUCGAUAUGUGAAUACAUAGCAUAUCAGAAGGCAUACCCGGAGAACUGAAACAUCUUAGUACCCGGAGGAAGAGAAAGAAAAUUCGAUUCCCUUAGUAGCGGCGAGCGAAACGGGAAGAGCCCAAACCAACAAGCUUGCUUGUUGGGGUUGUAGGACACUCUAUACGGAGUUACAAAGGACGACAUUAGACGAAUCAUCUGGAAAGAUGAAUCAAAGAAGGUAAUAAUCCUGUAGUCGAAAAUGUUGUCUCUCUUGAGUGGAUCCUGAGUACGACGGAGCACGUGAAAUUCCGUCGGAAUCUGGGAGGACCAUCUCCUAAGGCUAAAUACUCUCUAGUGACCGAUAGUGAACCAGUACCGUGAGGGAAAGGUGAAAAGCACCCCGGAAGGGGAGUGAAAUAGAACCUGAAACCGUGUGCUUACAAGUAGUCAGAGCCCGUUAAUGGGUGAUGGCGUGCCUUUUGUAGAAUGAACCGGCGAGUUACGAUUUGAUGCAAGGUUAAGCAGUAAAUGUGGAGCCGUAGCGAAAGCGAGUCUGAAUAGGGCGUUUAGUAUUUGGUCGUAGACCCGAAACCAGGUGAUCUACCCUUGGUCAGGUUGAAGUUCAGGUAACACUGAAUGGAGGACCGAACCGACUUACGUUGAAAAGUGAGCGGAUGAACUGAGGGUAGCGGAGAAAUUCCAAUCGAACCUGGAGAUAGCUGGUUCUCUCCGAAAUAGCUUUAGGGCUAGCCUCAAGUGAUGAUUAUUGGAGGUAGAGCACUGUUUGGACGAGGGGCCCCUCUCGGGUUACCGAAUUCAGACAAACUCCGAAUGCCAAUUAAUUUAACUUGGGAGUCAGAACAUGGGUGAUAAGGUCCGUGUUCGAAAGGGAAACAGCCCAGACCACCAGCUAAGGUCCCAAAAUAUAUGUUAAGUGGAAAAGGAUGUGGCGUUGCCCAGACAACUAGGAUGUUGGCUUAGAAGCAGCCAUCAUUUAAAGAGUGCGUAAUAGCUCACUAGUCGAGUGACACUGCGCCGAAAAUGUACCGGGGCUAAACAUAUUACCGAAGCUGUGGAUUGUCCUUUGGACAAUGGUAGGAGAGCGUUCUAAGGGCGUUGAAGCAUGAUCGUAAGGACAUGUGGAGCGCUUAGAAGUGAGAAUGCCGGUGUGAGUAGCGAAAGACGGGUGAGAAUCCCGUCCACCGAUUGACUAAGGUUUCCAGAGGAAGGCUCGUCCGCUCUGGGUUAGUCGGGUCCUAAGCUGAGGCCGACAGGCGUAGGCGAUGGAUAACAGGUUGAUAUUCCUGUACCACCUAUAAUCGUUUUAAUCGAUGGGGGGACGCAGUAGGAUAGGCGAAGCGUGCGAUUGGAUUGCACGUCUAAGCAGUAAGGCUGAGUAUUAGGCAAAUCCGGUACUCGUUAAGGCUGAGCUGUGAUGGGGAGAAGACAUUGUGUCUUCGAGUCGUUGAUUUCACACUGCCGAGAAAAGCCUCUAGAUAGAAAAUAGGUGCCCGUACCGCAAACCGACACAGGUAGUCAAGAUGAGAAUUCUAAGGUGAGCGAGCGAACUCUCGUUAAGGAACUCGGCAAAAUGACCCCGUAACUUCGGGAGAAGGGGUGCUCUUUAGGGUUAACGCCCAGAAGAGCCGCAGUGAAUAGGCCCAAGCGACUGUUUAUCAAAAACACAGGUCUCUGCUAAACCGUAAGGUGAUGUAUAGGGGCUGACGCCUGCCCGGUGCUGGAAGGUUAAGAGGAGUGGUUAGCUUCUGCGAAGCUACGAAUCGAAGCCCCAGUAAACGGCGGCCGUAACUAUAACGGUCCUAAGGUAGCGAAAUUCCUUGUCGGGUAAGUUCCGACCCGCACGAAAGGCGUAACGAUUUGGGCACUGUCUCAACGAGAGACUCGGUGAAAUCAUAGUACCUGUGAAGAUGCAGGUUACCCGCGACAGGACGGAAAGACCCCGUGGAGCUUUACUGUAGCCUGAUAUUGAAAUUCGGCACAGCUUGUACAGGAUAGGUAGGAGCCUUUGAAACGUGAGCGCUAGCUUACGUGGAGGCGCUGGUGGG
rnacentral:rRNA from 1 species